rnacentral:rRNA from 1 species
AUUGGACGCUGGCGGCAGGCCUAACACAUGCAAGUCGAGCGGAUGAGAGGAGCUUGCUUCUCGAUUCAGCGGCGGACGGGUGAGUAAUGCCUAGGAAUCUGCCUGGUAGUGGGGGACAACGUUUCGAAAGGAACGCUAAUACCGCAUACGUCCUACGGGAGAAAGCAGGGGACCUUCGGGCCUUGCGCUAUCAGAUGAGCCUAGGUCGGAUUAGCUAGUUGGUGAGGUAAUGGCUCACCAAGGCGACGAUCCGUAACUGGUCUGAGAGGAUGAUCAGUCACACUGGAACUGAGACACGGUCCAGACUCCUACGGGAGGCAGCAGUGGGGAAUAUUGGACAAUGGGCGAAAGCCUGAUCCAGCCAUGCCGCGUGUGUGAAGAAGGUCUUCGGAUUGUAAAGCACUUUAAGUUGGGAGGAAGGGUUGUAGAUUAACACUCUGCAAUUUUGACGUUACCGACAGAAUAAGCACCGGCUAACUCUGUGCCAGCCGCCGCCGUAAGAC